CUUCAAGCUCUGAAAUUCUCAGCUUGGUCUAAUCUGUUGUUCAGGCUUCCACUGUAUUUUGAAAUUCCUGUAGUGAAUUUUUCAAUUCCAGAAGUUCAGUUUGAUUAUUUCUUAAACUGGCUAUGUCAUCUUCCAACUCUUGUAUCAACAACUGGCUUUCUUGGAUUGAAUUUCAACUUUCUCUCGAAUCUUGAGCCUCCUUGCCAUCCAGAUUCCUAAUUCUAUGUCUGUCAUUUCAGACAUUUCAAUUUGGUGAGGAUCUAUUGCUGCGGAGCUAGUACAAUACUUUAUAGUCUAGGUGUCUCCACUGAACUCCAGACUUGUAUCAACUGCAUACUCAAUGUCACCACUCAGAUGAUAAAUUUGCAUCUCAAACUUAAUGUCUGAAAAGGAACUCUUGAUUCGGCUGCAUACUCCCACCAAGUUAGCUCCUUGCACAACCGUCUCCAACUUGGAAAAUGGAAGCUCCUGUUUUGCAGUUGCUCGAGCCAAAAAUCUUGAGAUUUUCAACACUGAAGUGAUAACAUGUGAACUGUGGAAAGGAAGGGGGUGAAGGGUGGAGCCAGCAGGAGGACUGUGAUCUUCAGAAAAGAAGACCCAAAGACGUGGGAAAGGCGGCCAUGUGAAAACGAAGCCAGAGAUU
rnacentral:lncRNA from 10 species